GUCCAUAGGAAUCUAUUUCAAAAUCUUUCUCAAGUAAGAGAUAGAAUAUUAGCUGCAGAGAUUUGCUCCACAAAAUUCUAAUUCAGAUGAUGCUUUGCUGAAACUGAAAAUUUUGGAGCAGGAAUAUGAUGCUAUUCUUUUACGAAAGAAAACUUUCUAUAAACAGAAAUUUAGAAGUUCUUUAUAAAAGAAGAAAAGCUUCCUAUUCUUCUCUAAAUUUGCCUAAUGGGGAGUUAUGUUCAAAUCCUUCAACUAUUCACUCGGCUGCAAUCAAGUUUUCUCGGCAACAUUUAUCUUGUGAACCUGUUGCGUAUUCUCUGCUUUGCUGGAGGUUAUUCCUAAUGUCAUUUCUGAUAUAGAUAAUCUUCAUAUGUUGAGGCCACCGUCUCUGGAAGAAGUUAAGAAUGCAGUAUGUUCUAUCCCUCCAGAUUUGGCUCCAGGUCCUGAUGGCUAUACUUCUUCCUUUUUCUGAAGCUGCUGGAACAUUAUUGCAACUGAUCUUCAUGAGGCAACCUUGGAUUGUUUUUUCAUAGGGCUUAAGGCACGGAGAUCCCUGAUCUCCUCUCCUAUUCAUGUUGAGUGAAGAACCAAUUAGCCGAGGCGUGUCCAAAAUAGUAAACUCCGCUGUUGUUACUCCUCAUUCCAUACCUCGAGGAUGUCCAUUAAUUCUCACGUCAUGUUUGCUGAUGGCAUUUUGAUUUUAACUAAUGGAUCGAAGGAAAGUUGAACAAUUUUUUAUAAAAUUUAUCUCAAAAUAUGAAGCUGCUUCUGUCAGAAAAUGAAUCCCCAGAAAAGCUCUUUCUUCAUGCAUAAAUCCAUAACCAGAACCAGAAUGUAGUGGCUGCAACAACAGGUUUUGCUGAAGGGUCUUGCCCAACUAAAUACUUGGGAGCUCCUCUUUCUUAUGGCCCAUAAAUAAAGGUUGUUUGGGUUUUAAGGAACAUUCAUGAUACAUUAGCAGCUCUUCAAUGCAAACUAUCUUGGAGGCUUUCAGCAUCUGAGUCUCCAUGGGCAAGCUAUAUGUUUCAUAUAAAGAAUGCUGUUUCUUAGCUCAUCCAUGUGGAAGUCUAUAUGUCCUUGCUUGUCUAGAAACCUCUCUCCUACAAUUGGGGGAGCUCUCUCUCCGGCCGGUAGAGGUUUUGCUAUUGUACGUAUGUCCUUCAUUAACUCAAGAUGUAAGUACUCAUGCGGGCUAGAAUAUUCCAAAGCUAUCUGCAAUUGGUAGGGCUGAAAGAAAAAACUGAAAAAUCGACCAAAGCGACUGGUUUGUCCCGGUUCAAUACCGGCUCCGUUCCGAGAAUCAAGACCAGUUAAAAACUAAUUGGGUCUCAAUUUUCUUUAAAAACUGAACUGGACCA